rnacentral:rRNA from 1 species
CAUUGGGACUGAGACACGGCCCAAACUCCUACGGGAGGCAGCAGUAGGGAAUCUUCGGCAAUGGACGAAAGUCUGACCGAGCAACGCCGCGUGAGUGAAGAAGGUUUUCGGAUCGUAAAACUCUGUUGUUAGAGAAGAACAAGGAUGAGAGUAACUGUUCAUCCCUUGACGGUAUCUAACCAGAAAGCCACGGCUAACUACGUGCCAGCAGCCGCGGUAAUACGUAGGUGGCAAGCGUUGUCCGGAUUUAUUGGGCGUAAAGCGAGCGCAGGCGGUUUCUUAAGUCUGAUGUGAAAGCCCCCGGCUCAACCGGGGAGGGUCAUUGGAAACUGGGAGACUUGAGUGCAGAAGAGGAGAGUGGAAUUCCAUGUGUAGCGGUGAAAUGCGUAGAUAUAUGGGGGAACACCAGUGGCGAAGGCGGCUCUCUGGUCUGUAACUGACGCUGAGGCUCGAAAGCGUGGGGAGCAAACAGGAUUAGAUACCCUGGUAGUCCACGCCGUAAACGAUGAGUGCUAAGUGUUGGAGGGUUUCCGCCCUUCAGUGCUGCAGCUAACGCAUUAAGCACUCCGCCUGGGGAGUACGACCGCAAG